AUGAACGCUGGCGGCGUGCCUAAUACAUGCAAGUCGAGCGAACGGACGAGAAGCUUGCUUCUCUGAUGUUAGCGGCGGACGGGUGAGUAACACGUGGAUAACCUACCUAUAAGACUGGGAUAACUUCGGGAAACCGGAGCUAAUACCGGAUAAUAUUUUGAACCGCAUGGUUCAAAAGUGAAAGACGGUCUUGCUGUCACUUAUAGAUGGAUCCGCGCUGCAUUAGCUAGUUGGUAAGGUAACGGCUUACCAAGGCAACGAUGCAUAGCCGACCUGAGAGGGUGAUCGGCCACACUGGAACUGAGACACGGUCCAGACUCCUACGGGAGGCAGCAGUAGGGAAUCUUCCGCAAUGGGCGAAAGCCUGACGGAGCAACGCCGCGUGAGUGAUGGAGGUCUUCGGAUCGUAAAACUCUGUUAUUAGGGAAGAACAUAUGUGUAAGUAACUGUGCACAUCUUGACGGUACCUAAUCAGAAAGCCACGGCUAACUACGUG
rnacentral:rRNA from 1 species